rnacentral:rRNA from 1 species
GUGCCAGCAGCCGCGGUAAUACGGGGGGUGCGAGCGUUGUUCGGAAUUAUUGGGCGUAAAGCGCGUGCAGGCGGUUUUGUAAGUCUGAUGUGAAAGCCCCGGGCUUACCCCGGGAAGUGCAUUGGAUACUGCAAAACUUGAGUUCGGGGGAGGAGAGUGGAAUUCCUGGAGUAGGGGUGAAAUCCGUAGAUAUCAGGAAGAACACCGGUGGCGAAGGCGGCUCUCUGGACCGAUACUGACGCUGAGACGCGAAAGCGUGGGUAGCAAACAGGAUUAGAUACCCGUGUAGUCC